rnacentral:lncRNA from 1 species
AAAGUCUGAAGUUACGCUGUCUUUCGGUUGGAUUUCUGGUGCCGUGGUAGGGCUACUUCUACAGUCCCUUGGGGCUGAGCAGAAAUAAUGGGAGCAUGUGCUUCAGCGGGUUCUCAGGGCUCCUUCCUGCAAUUCAGCUCCUCUCUUGGUGCACCCAGGAUUGCCGUGGAGCUGCGACUUCCUCACUGCCUUCAGCAAAACUCGCAUGGACAGGAUUUCCUGCCACAACAUCUGUCUUAGCGAAAGCUUUCCUAUCACAGAGAAAAACCCGCUGAUUCAGACCCUCUGACAAGCGCAAACUAAACCACACCUUCUACUAUGAUCAAAUGAUGGCUUUUUGGUGGCAAUUCCAGCGAAGGGAUCACUUGCGGUUUUUCUCUCAUUCACUUUGUCAAACCGUGGCUGUCACAAAAAGCUCUGGCACAUGGAAUAAGACUGGGAAACGGACCUCAAGGCAAACGAUCCCGGAAAGACUUGUGAACACUGCACACUGAGGAGUCAGGUGCACUGAGAGCGCACAGAAGUGGCAGAUGGAAUACUGGUUUGCCUUUCCAAUCCAAGCAAAUCCAAAACAUCUGCAAGAGGAACAACUAACCGAUAAAGGAAAAUAAAAUACACUUUGCUUCAAAGAAAGAGUUCAAUACAACUGGUGAACAUCUGUACAAACUUCAAGCUCUAAGAAGGGCUAAACCAGGUCAGAUGAGCAGCAACAUGAUGAUCUGGAUACUCACAAAACAGUUUUACACUGAAAGGAAUGCAGUGAAGGAAUAAAUUCAGUAGCAGCCUGUCCAAUGAAGUUGGUGGUCCUUAUGUUCUUCAAGAAUGUAAAUUCUUAUGGUCAAACUGUUUUUUGCAUCAUGAUUUGGUUAUGACUUCCAUCCCCCGGGAGAUGGAGCAGGAUUGGGAAGGAGCCUCAGCCCCCUCGGGACCCCUUGGUCACAUCAGGGCACCAUGGACGAGCUAGACCAGUCGCCCCUGGUCUCCUCCUCCACCUCCGGGCCAACGCGUCCGCAGCAGCCCCAGUUCAACUACCAGUUCGUGCUCGACGACGAGAAGGAGGAGGAGGAAGAAGAGGAGGAGGAAGAGGAGGACGAAGACUUCGACGAGCAGCUGGAGGUGAUGGA